GAAAAACCACAGAUUUCUAGAGAGUCGUCCACGGCAAGCAGAAUUGAUCUGUUGCCAAACCCCGGAGGCACAAGAACCAUGGUUGAGAGACUACUAAGUAAUAGGCAAGUUCUAUACAUACCUUGCAUCUCAAGUAUCAUAUUUAUCUCAUUAAUUUCAUAGGUAACCUUCUGAUCCUCUAAAUGGCUUCCAGCAGCUCGACGACAAGUCACCGAGAAUGCAUGGAAACGUUCAGCUGUGGGUUAGCUUCACAUGAGUUACUCUCCCCAACACAUGUCCUGCAAAAUUCACACGAUUACUUUGGUUCUUCAAACAUGGCCAACAAUAUUUCAAUGAAUGCUAUGAGCAACCAUCCUUUGUCCAUUUUACGAAGUCAUGGCAAGGAGACCUCCUACAUGUGAAGCAUUUGAGAGGAAGUUAUGAUUUCUUCAGAAAGGAGGUGGGAGGUAGCUGAGGUUGGACAUAUGUAGAUUUCUUGUCCUUCAAGCUUGUCCCUAUUCGUUGUUAGAGGGUUAAUGGAUUGUGUAUAUAUAAAAGCUCGUUCAUUCCGUACGUUUUGAAGGAUGGCGAGGAGAGUUGUUGCUCGGGCAUGGAGUGAACGACGAGGAAAAGGAAAGUGUAGGUAUAUAGUUCAUAUAUAAACUUAGUUGCAAAGUAUAUCAUAUACUGUAUAUAAAUAUGUUCAAUUGUUCAUUUCUUCCGGGGGUUAAUCUUCCUCGAAAUUUGUUACUCUAAAGUGCUUUGAGCUAUAGGAAAUGAGCGAGUUUCGAUAGAGGCUUGUGGGCGUUUGACCCUAUUUGAUCCUGCUGAGUGAUUCAACGAUAACUUUGAAAUGUAAGCAAGCCUUUACAGAUUCCAAACAAGACCCUGAAACUGUCAUUUGAGAAAUUUAUUACAUUUGGAAAAUGUAAUGGGGUUGUGUGAUUAUUGUCAAACUUAGGAUCUGCUUCAUGGUAUGGGUUCAGACGUUCAGUAGCAGAGAGAGAGAGAGAGAGAGAGUAAUGACUAAUGAAUGAAUGAAUGCAGAAGAGAGAGAGAGAGAAGAAGAAGGCAGAAGUUGUCUUGAAUAGUGGCUUCUCUAGGAAAAAGGUUUUGGAGUUUUGCAGACUAAAUGCUUUCUUUCUGUUUCAGAUUCCCUCCCCAAGCCUCUAGCCCAUAGCCCACCCACCACUGACCACACCACCAAUCUCUCUUCACACUUUUCUUUCUCUCAACUCAGCCCCUUCCUUUCGUCCUUUUACUCUGUUCUGGAGGUUCCUCUUCCAUCAUUUCCUUUCUACCUUUUCUCAAACUACCAAACAAAGGAACCCAAUGUCAAAUUCAAUAUAAAAAUAAAAUAGACCAUCUAUCUUUCUCUCCGACUCUGCUAAGCUAAGCUGUAGGAAUACAGGACAAAGUGCGGCAGCAGCAAAUACAUACAUGUAACAAUAGUAGACUCAGUACUAAUCUAUAAAGCACACACUGCUUUCUCGUACUUCACAGUAACAUAUCCAGUGUGUGUUCAUUUUCCCUCCCAUCCUCGAUCCUGCAUUUUGUCUCUCUCUGCUCAAAACCCAUUUCAAAUCAAUGGCUUCUUCAUUCAACCUACAAAACAGAAGACCCUUCUCUUCUCCUUCUUGUUUCUGACUUGCUACCAACAUCUAUAAUACCAAUUUCAGCAUUCCCAUUUCAGGUGCAGCCAAGUAAGUAUAAAUGUCAAUGCCUUUAGGGCAGCAGCAGGGACCACUGGUGAAUGUCAACCCACAAUCAUUCGCCGGCAUCCACUCGUCAUCCCACCCUUCGGUCGGGCCUGUAAUUGCAGUGCUGGUGGUGAUCAUGAUUCUGGGAAUUGCAGCAGUGAUGAUUGGAAGGAUGUGUUCUGGGAGGAGGAUACUGGGUUACGGCCAAUACGACAUUGAAGGAUGGGCUGAGACCAAGUGUUCAACUUGCAUUGAUGGAAGGAUUACUCCUUCUCCUCCUCCUCUUCCGCGGCCUCCUACACCGCCUGCUACUACUGCUCCUCCUCCACCACUUGGGGACAGUGACAAUGCCGCUUCUCACGGCGAGAAUGAUGAUGAAGAGGACGAAAGUGGAGGUAGUUCAUCACCCACCUGACUGACAUUGUGUUUUUUCCCUUUUCUUUAGAGGAGAGGUUCUCAUAUGUUUUCUUCUCUGCUAAAUGUUCACACUUAUUGGAACUCCUGAGGAACUGUUGAUUGUUUUCCCACCCACCAUUGAAGCAGCAGCAUUAAUUAGUUGCUUUGACCUUAUUAUAAGUUAUAACUUGUUAUUAGCUUGGCUGCUAGUUUUUUUUUAUGUUCAGUUUCUCAUCUCUAUUUUCUGCUCAUUCUAAUUUUGGACGAGACGAGUUCCCAAACUCCAUGAAUAUUUGAUUGAAAACCCAGCAGAAGCAAGGGAUGUGUAGUGACUAGUGAUAGAUUAUUUUCUGAAACUGCUAUUGAAAUUCGAGCAUAUUUGGAAGGUAGUAUACUAGAGUCUCUCUCUCCCAUAUUCCAUUUAAACCUGGAACAUGUCGGUCAACUGCGGAAUUUACAUUGGUCGAUGAUGUAGUAGUAAUUGAGGAGGGGAAAGUAGGUUCACGUGAAGAAACUGACAUAUGAUGAGAGUGAUGUAUCAGUGAAAUGUUUAUUCUCACGAAACUGUAGGCAUCACUUCACAAUGAGAGAACAGCGUCAUUCAGAAUAAGGAAGGAAAUUAAAAGAGCUAACUAGAGACAUGUUUGUUCAUUAUACCCCAGUCAGUUUCAACGUACCUAUUGCUGCUGCUGCUGCUGCUGUUCCCAUCUCAGUCUUUCUUGCCCAUACAUAAUAUAUUCCCAUGGCGAUUCGCUACAUAAAGUUGCCAUAACAUCACAGUGAUGAUGAGACUGUUACUGGCUGCAAACCCCAUUCCCCUCAAAUAUCCCCUAGACCCAAGAGAGUAGUACUAGCUAGCAAUAGCAUUGUUAAGAAAAGAAUCCAACAUGGAACACAGUCUCAGCCCACUAGUUCAUCAAUAAACCUCGUCUUCCCCUCCAACUUGUUACAUUAUUCACUCCUAAAGUAUAUAAACAAAUGUUGGCAUUUGGGAAAAACAUGCUGAGUUUCAGAUAAUAAUGCAAGUUGUUAAUCAACUUGCACCCUGAAGUGAACUUCCAAACGUGAUCAAGGAACGAAGGAAAUAACAUAAGCAAGGCUCUUUCUUGUUAAACUAGUAACAUCCAGAUUCCAGACACAAGUUCUAUCUAUGGACCAAAAGUAGAAGGAGGACGCUGAGCUUGAGAAGAUGAGAGAUGCCAGCAACCACAUGCAACCUACUCCUUGGAACCCCUGUUUUCCCCACUGCCUCUUGUCCAGCAUUACAAAGCAAGGUACGGACUUUAUUUCAUAAUGCAGCAGCUGUAACAGCCAACCAACCAGUUCAACAAGUUCAUAAAUUUCUGAAUCAGAGUUCAAGUUGAAACCAUUUCUUUCACCAAUAUACUAAACCAUUUAUCCACCUAUUGUUAUCAGCAAAAUAUCAACCCCAAGUGUUUGAAAGACCUAAUAGCACCUAAUUCUGUACCAGGAGUCGAUUACUUUAUCUCAGGCAGCCAUUGUUCAUUCUUUGCAUCGGCCAUCACAAUGUUGACCCAAUCCCAGUUUCUCCUCUCCACCUCCGUCACCAAAUUGACCAAUGAGUUGCAGAGCAUACACUUGGGGGAGUAAAAUUCAAGCACCGUUGCCUCUUUCCCGCCAGCCAGAGCCGAAGCAAACGCUCUUUGCUCCGCCUCAGCCUGCUCUUCCGCACUUCUCUUUCCUUUCCCAUUCGCCGACGAAUUGGAGACCGAGUUUAUGGAUUUUAGGGCAAUGGAGUCCAGAGUGCUGAGGGAUUUCAGCAGCCAUGGACCCUCGUAAGAGCAGGCGUUGGGGCUAGUUUUGUGAUUCUGGUCCCAAGGCCAUGUUAGACAGAAGAGAGGAUGCUUUGGAGGAGCUGCGUCGGUUUUCAUCUCGAUUUCUUUCUGGCCGUGAAUUACCAUUUACUAGCGAGUUUGUGUUUUCAGUCGGAGCCCUUUGUGAGAAUCCUCAAAAGAUUUUGAGGUCAGAACUGCAGAACGGCAUUAUAAACAGUUUGUUAUAAAACUAAACUCAAAGAAAGACAAGAACAAGAGAAAAUAUGGAGAGGGAGAGAGUUUCUUAUUGAUGUGUAGAUAUGAUACAAUGUAGAGUCCUAUUUAUAGGCUCAUGAAACCAUAACCUAUACAUUCUAAUAUUAAUACAAUUAAGAGAGUAAUAUAAUACAUGAUCAAUGCAAUGGGAGUUACACAAUGAGCAUUCAACUACAUUUAUAUAAAAUAUUCAUAACACAGUUAGAUUACAUUCAUUUUUUUGGGUAAAUUUAGGUGAGACGGCACCUAUUUGUUAUUCACAAUCAAAAGAUGUUGGGAAUCUCCAAACAAGUGAUACGAAAUGUGCAUCGAUAAAGUAGAAUCAUUAAUGAAAAUAGACUGAACACCAAUAUAUAGUCUAUGACCUAGGACCGUUAAGUAGUCCACUGUCUGGUUGCCUUCCCAAUAAAUGUGCUCAACUUUGUUUGUCAAGUUCCGAUCCAACAUCUCACGGAACCGAGCGACCUCAGAAGAGUGCUGGUGUGUGCUCUCACUCUCCGCCAACCGAAGUUAGAUUGCAGCUCGUGAAUCCAGCUGCACCCGUACCUGUCUGUACCAAACUCCGAAGCCAGUUGUAACCUCGGUACAACAACUCCCAACUUAGCCCUGGUUAUUGAGGAGAUUCCCAGGUUCAUCGAAUAUGCCGCUAAGUAACGACCAUCGGAUUCACGGAAUAAACCUCCUGCUGUUGCUUUUCCGGUCUCUGGAAUAGCAGACUCGUCAGAGUUAAGAGCAACCCACUCGGGUGGUGGUGACAGCGAAGAGACUUCCACCACUGUCUUGGUGGGCGAACCAGCAUGAGUGGAUUGGUCACAUAUCAAGGUCUCCACAAUCGUCUCGGGCCAUUAUCUGAUAUGAUGUGCAAGGGCCUGGAGUGGUGCUAAUAUCAGUGAAAAUAGCUUCAUUUCUGGCCUUCCAAAGAGACCGGCAGGCAACCCCAAAAAGAAGGCUAGUGCUUGACGCCUUCAAGUAGUGUGUGAUCAAAGGCAAAAGUAAGGAUUCCCAGUUCGUUUCAUCUUCAGAAAGGAAAACGUUCCUAGGUGGUGACUGCGAAGGGACAAUCCUGCAACACAUGCAAGGUUGUUUCUGCUGGGUAGUGGCAGCGUGUACAUGCUCCAUCCGUCAAUAGGUGUUUAUGUCUUCUUGACUCAUUCGUCAACAACCUGUCAAGAGAAGCUAACCAAAUAAAAUAUUUAACCCGGUUAGGGCAGCGCCAGCUCCAAACUGUGUGCCAGUCAGGAGGGUCCACCAGGUCCUCGUUCUCGUCAAGGAGCUCAUAAGUGGAGCGAAUGGGGAACCUGCCAUCUUUCUCCAAGCCCCAGUAGAUGGGGUCUUCUCCACUACCCAGCCGUGGGGAUGACAUCCCCGUAACACGCAAAACCAUAUCGUCGAAUACUAAGGAACGGAUAAGUUGGAGAUUCUACUCACCCGAAGCGUGGUAGCUGGUGCUGAAAGGUCCGGAUCGGCCGCCGAAGGAAGGAUAUGUUCAAUGAGAUGGGUCCCGACAUCUAUCCAUUGUGCGAUCCAGAAUGAGGUAUCCGACCCAUCUCGAAUGUCAUCCCGUACUCCCAUUGCCACGUGUGGCAUAGAUGCCCGGAUUCCCCACCAUAAAACCGACUUUAAGAAGGAGUGCCUCUCGUGAAAACCACCCUUCCGUCUGUUAUACUUGGUCUGUACCACCAGCACCCACAAAUUAUUUGGUUUUACAAGGAAAAGGAAACCCAGCCUGAUCAUUUAAGCCUGAUGAGUUGUCGAGCCAUUCUCAAGCCGAGGAAACCUUGAUGCUUUGGUUGGAAAAUCUUCUUAGUUGUGGUGCCCCAAACAAAGUUCCUAAUUCGCUUGUCAAUUUCAUAGUAGAUAUGACUUCGAAGCUUUGUGGUCUGCAUAACAUAAGCAGGGAUAGCAAAUAAAACGGAUUGAGCAAGAGUUACUCUACCGACAAAUGAGAGAGACCAUGCCUUCCAGUCAACAAGUUUCUGGUCCAACCUAUCAAGGAUCUCCCGGUAUGUUGCAUUCGUUACACGUUCGUGCAGAAUUGGAACUCCCAAAUAUUUUCCUAGAUUUUGCAUCAUAGGGAUCCCAAGAAACUGUGCAAGCCUUCUGGCUUCCGGCCUAGGAACCGUUUGUGACAAGAAUACCGCUAAUUUUUCCUUACUUACAGACUGCCCAGAUGCAGAGUAGAAGGUAUCCAAGCAACAAAGAAUUGUAAAAGAUUGACGUUUUGAGACCUCUCUAAAAAGAACUAGAUCAUUUACAAAGAAAAUAUGUGAGAGCAGCGGUCAGUCAUGAGCUAGGUGGAUGGGAUUCCAAUCAUUGGCAGAGAUCGCAACAUUGAUCAGGUGGCUGAGCCGUUCGAUGUCGAGAGUAAAGCGAAAGGGAGAGAGUGGUUAUCCCUGCCUAAUAUCACGGGAAGGUGUAAAUUUCCCAAUCAGCUCACCAUUCCACAAUACAUGAAACCUGUUAGUCGAAACACACUUCAUGAUCAAGGAAACCAAGUUGGCGGGAAUACAUGUGGUCGUAAGAGUAUCUUCAUGAAACGGACAACAGAUUUUGUCGUAUACCUUGGCAAGGUCAAUUUUCAGCACCAUGCUUCUAACUUUACCUCGAUCAUUCUCCAUAGUGUGGACGACCUCCUGCAGGAUGGUGAUGUUGUCUAUGAUGUAUCGACCAAGGUGCACAUAUGGUGUUGGAGGCGGUUAGUGAGCAGUUUGGUGAUUAGGUUGUAGGCGACAUUACAAAGGCUAAUCGUUCUAAAUUACCUAAUAGAAUUCGGUCUCUGCACCUUGGGAAUUACCACUAGCACCGUCUCAUUGACUACCUCAACCUGUGAUGGGCCGACAAACACAUCAAUUGCAAACUGAAUUAAAUUUUUGCUAACAUGGUCCCAACAUUUCUGGAAAAGAGCGGUUGAUAGAAAUUCUUGUCGGGUGCUUUGAGACUUCCCAUAUCGAAGAGAGCUGAUUUGACUUCAAGUAAGGAAGGAGUUCUCACCAACCUUGUCUAGUUUGCUUCUGUAAGAGGAGUGAACCCACAGGGGAGAGUGGAAGAUUACAUUCAUUUGAUAUAAUGGUAAAUACAAUAUAAUAACUAAUAGGGUACUAUAGUCAAGUAAUAAACAUUACUACCACCUACGUUGCCAAUUCAUACUAAAUAAACCACGUUGCUAGUUGCUACUAAAUAAAAGGACCCCACCCUUGAGGGUGGGUUAGUUUGAUGGUACUAUUUGGCCUGGCGACUGUUGCAGAAGAAUUCAGCUACUGAACUCUUUUGAAUUUAGGAGUAGAGGGGUAGUUUCGUUAUUUCAUAUUUUAAUUUAAUUUAUUUAUUUUACAUAUUAAUUAAUAUUUUCCCUUAACUUCUUUAUUUAAUUAAUAUCUUUUGCAUACGAAAUCAUAUUUGAAUAAUUUUGGCGCUAAAAUAUUAGUUUUUGAAAUGCGAUUAAAAUAAGUACAAUCAUGGUAUAGUUUCAACGAACUUUUUUUCCGAGGUCAAACACGUGAGUUGACUGCCUCAAAACUAGGCUUGAUAGCUAUCACCAACUUACAGGUAGUUAUUGUUAGAUUGGGAGGUUCCUGAGUAGCAAUGCUUCGAGUUUUGACAAGUAAAGAGAUCUUGGAUAAACACGAAAUCGUGGGCAUCACUUUUCGAAAAGAGUAUUUCCACCCAAUAAACCUUGGGUAUCACGAAAUCAAUUCUAAGGAUAAGACCGCCUACACUCGAUUUAGAAACUAGAGUAACUUAGAAUCUCGUAAGCUAGGAUAGAUGUGUGUUUUUUAUUUCUAUUUCUCCCACAUGGCUUCUUUAUAUAGGCAAAGGGUCCAGGGGCAAAGGGGUACGAGUUCAUGUACCAAGAGGCAUCCUUAUCUCUAUGGAUAUACUUGAAGGUGGUUAUAACCUUGAAGCCCUACGGGUUUGGAGGCAGAACAACUCAGAUUUGAGUUUGACUUUCAUGAAGAGGUGUGAACCAAUUCGUCCUAGGAGAAGGAGUAACCACCACAAUCACGUAGAUCCCUACCAUCACCAUAGCUCAACUCAGCAUCGUAGCUAGUGACACUAGCAUCGAGUUGGAUGAGUUGGAGUGUCAGUCCUAGCAUGAAUUAGCUCAUAGAGGGGCUGAUGCUAGCUAGUUCCUGGUUGCUCUGAGCUAAGGUGAGGUUCCCCGUGAGUCCACACAUCAUUACCAUCACCGGCAUCGCACCAAGGUCAAGUCCAAGGUGCUGCCAUCACACCAAGGUCGAACUCUCUGUGCAUAUUUCUAACAUUCCUCUCCCAUUUUAGCGUAGUUUGCGAAUUCACUAAAAUUACAACAAAUAUCCAAUCAAAAAACUCUUGUAUUAAUGAGAAUGUCACAAAGAUUGAAUUUUUAUGUAGUAUAUUACACAUUCCAGAAUACUCAAAUAUAGGGGUGUCACAAAGGAUUGAACCUGUCUACUCAUUUGAGUGUAUGAAGAUAACAUACAUAAGAGUUUAUCCUUUCAUGAGCGAACACAAAACCAAUUCCAAGUUUCUUGAAGCAGCUACACUUCAUGCUAGCACAGGUUAAUUCCUUUAUUGUUCGCCUGCGUAUAUACUUUGUCAAGGAAUCAAUUAAGAAGUUAAUCUCCAACCUCUAUCAUUCGUACGUUUCUGAGCACAUACCUUCAGGAUGUUUCAAAUCUUGUGCUCUAGUUCACGGCCAACAUUAUGCCUCACCCCUAAAUGAUGAGACUUGCCAUUAUAGACUUGGAUAUAUGUCCUAGCUAUGGUAGCAUUGCUAUCACAUAAGACAACAAUCAGUGAGAUAGGUCUCAGCCACAAUAAAAUCUCAUACACCAAGUCCCUUAGCUAUUCUGCCUCCUUACUGACGAGUCAUGGAUAGAUAUUGGAGGCUCCCCACGAGUUGUCGAAAUAGUGUCAGAUUAUGAAAGGGCGUGUCAUCUUGUGGUGUUGCGGUGGUCCCUGAUGGUGUGGAAAGAGGCUUGGCCGUUGACAUACCUAAUCGAUGGAGAAUGCUAUUUAUAUAUUUGGUUUGACACAGAUGGAGCCCAUCACCACAUUUGCUCACUUGAUGUUGAACUUGGCCGCGAGAUGCUUAAGAAGAUCUUGAAUUGCUGCAUCAGAUGAACCAGUAGCGAUAAUGUCAUCAACAUAAAUCAAUACAAACAUGGUGAUACCUGAUCGGUUGUAAUAGAACAUUGAAUGAUCAGUUUUAGAGUCUUUCAAGCCGUAGUCAAGAAGAGCUGCUU
rnacentral:lncRNA from 1 species